GAUGAACGCUGGCGGCGUACCUAAUACAUGCAAGUCGAGCGAACGGACGAGAAGCUUGCUUCUCUGAUGUUAGCGGCGGACGGGUGAGUAACACGUGGAUAACCUACCUAUAAGACUGGGAUAACUUCGGGAAACCGGAGCUAAUACCGGAUAAUAUUUUGAACCACAUGGUUCAAAAGUGAAAGACGGUCUUGCUGUCACUUAUAGAUGGAUCCGCGCUGCAUUAGCUAGUUGGUAAGGUAACGGCUUACCAAGGCAACGAUGCGUAGCCGACCUGAGAGGGUGAUCGGCCACACUGGAACUGAGACACGGUCCAGACUCCUACGGGAGGCAGCAGUAGGGAAUCUUCCGCAAUGGGCGAAAGCCUGACGGAGCAACGCCGCGUGAGUGAUGAAGGUCUUCGGAUCGUAAAACUCUGUUAUUAGGGAAGAACAUAUGUGUAAGUAACUGUGCACAUCUUGACGGUACCUAAUCAGAAAGCCACGGCUAACUACGUG
rnacentral:rRNA from 1 species